rnacentral:rRNA from 1 species
CAGUUGGAAACGACUGCUAAUACUCUAUACUCCUUCUAAGCAUAAGCUUAGUCGGGAAAGUUUUUCGGUGUAGGAUGAGGCUAUAUCGUAUCAGCUAGUUGGUAAGGUAACGGCCUACCAAGGCUAUGACGCGUAACUGGUCUGAGAGGAUGAUCAGUCACACUGGAACUGAGACACGGUCCAGACUCCUACGGGAGGCAGCAGUAGGGAAUAUUGCUCAAUGGGGGAAACCCUGAAGCAGCAACGCCGCGUGGAGGAUGACACUUUUCGGAGCGUAAACUCCUUUUCUUGGGAAAGAAUUAUG